UUUGCCGAAUCUGCCGCAAGCGUGUGUGUCAGCAGGCUGUCUGUGGAAGACCCGAGGAACAUGCAUGGCUUGGUUUUGUGCCUUCAGUCAUCUCCAGUUUUUUUCAGAACGCAACACAAGCAAAUGAACUAGCAACAGUGUGUUCAGGAGAGCUUCGAGGAUACGGGUGCAAAAGUUUGGUCAGUGCUCUGGGGGAGGAUGCAGUGCUGAGAGUCGCCGGAGGACGCCUCCUGUCCUGUCCAGUAACCAGGUCACCAAAUUGCUCCCGUCCUGACGGUGGUUAUUCUUCAAUCUUGGGUCUUAUUUGUUGUGAGGCUUCAAAGGAUGGUCAUGUCCAUGACUCGCACAUCCAUCUGCAGAGACAGAUGAAUGUUAUAACUGCUGGGUGGAGACAGGCAAGUAUGGCUCCUCCCAGGGGUGAGGCCCUUGGGGACCCUGAACAGCUUCUCAGUACAUCCUACAGGGUUCUUCCACUAGGAGGCCUACCUGCCUGUGCUGCCACUGGUGACCCACUCAGGAACUACCUCCAGAAGCUGCCAUCUUGGGCAGUUCCACCGUCUCCCUGACAUCCGUCCACCUGGCCAGUAAUCUGCAGAUGGAGGUGGAGCUGCCUGGAGAAAACACUUAGGUCAGCCGUCUGAGUUCACAUUCAGCAGUAGUCAGGGCAGUCCAGCGUGGCUAGGAAUGCAGGAAGAGCAAAGGAAAACGUGGGGUGGACCUAGAGAGGAUAGAGUGGUGUUUAUAAAGAAAAACAGUCCUCAGAAGGUCGUGCAGAUGGUUCAACAGCAUGACUGGGGGCGUGAUAUGCAUUAUAGCAGAAUGCCUGCUCUGUGCCAGGCUCUCUAAGAUGUCCUCUUGUGGGUCAGCCCCAAGACUUGUUGGGGAGAGGAACAGUUAGUUGGCCAGGUUAGGUGACUCACAGAGCAGAGCUCUUGGAUAUCUCUUCACACUGACCCAGCAUGCACUGGGGUGGAAAACAGAACCGGUGCCGUCUCCCAGCGGUGUCUGUUGCUGCCUUCAGUGGCAUGGUGAUGCCUCAGUUAAGGGGUGGCUCUUCAUCCCCUCAUGCAACUUGGAGGUCGGCCAGUUUGGAGACACCUGGGAUUGAUGGUUCAUCUUUGUUAGCAACCUGACUGGAUUUGGAACCACCUGGGGGGGGGACACUUCAGGGUGUGCCUGUGAUCGUAUCUCUAGAGAUGUUUAACUGACGGGAGAGCCACUCUAAAUGUGAGUGGCACCAUCCCAUGGACUGAAGCCAAGGCUGAACGAAAGAGAAGGAGAAAGCCUGAGGAGCACCAGCCGUCACCUCUCUCCUGCUUCCUGGUCCAUGGAAAUGUGAGCCGGCAGUCUCAAGCUCCUGCCUCGGGCCUUCCUCGCCAGGAUGAACUAGAGCCCAGAUGAGCCCUUCUUCCCUCAGUGUGUUCUCCGGUGCUUUGUCACAGGAAUGGAGAAGAGAACUAGUACAAUAGCAGUAGCAGGCAGUUGUGAAGAUGGACGCCAAGGAUCGGCCCACGCCUGACCCAGCAUUCAACCAGACACCAAUCUAGAGGCCGCUGGGCAGGAGCUUGCACUGUGUAUCAGUGUCCCAAGUCCAUUGUCCUUGAGGUAUUGAGCCCUUUAAAGGCAGCAGAAAGUGGGGUCCAGGUGAAGUCAGGAGGAGAGCUAGAAUCGCUGCCGCUGGCUGGGAGGUGGAAGUGAUCUAUCUCUCUAUAUCUAGGUAUCUAGAUAUCUAUAUCUAUGUCUAUAUAUAUCACUUCCUGACAGCCAUUGGGUGAGCAGCUGUCUCACCACAUUCUCCCUACCAUAAAUUUUUGCCUCAUCAUAGGCCAAAAUCAAUGGAGCCAAGUGGCCAGGGGUGAAACCAUAGAAAUCGCGUGAGGAAUAGGCCUUUCCCCCUUUCAGUUGGUUGUCUCCGGUAUUUUAUCACAGCCAUGGAAAGUUGACCACACAGGUCAACAAAACCCACUAAUGAACCCUACUCCUCAGUGCAUUUUGGAGAAGAAAUAUUCCAAAAGAGGUAAUGUGGGAAGCAGGGUUUCCACCUGUCUAGGGCUAGGAAGGCAGGAGGAUGAUGCUCUGUCCUGAAUGCACUAUGGGCAUGAAGCCUGACAUGGGGUAGAAUCUUUUUUCCUUGUUUGAGACAGGCUUUCAUCAUGUCGUCGUGACUGGCCUGGAACUCAGAAACAGCCUGCCUUUGCCUCCAUAAUGCUGGGAUUAAAGGUGUGUGCCACACUGGUGGAAUCGGUGUUUAAAGAUUAAAUCUGGCCAUCUGAGUUUGACUCCUGGAUCCUACAGUGGGUGAAUAGAACCAACUUCUGAAAGUUGUCUUCUCAUGUCCACAUUCACACAAUGACAGCAAAUUUAAAAUAAAUCUAAAAGACAAC